rnacentral:rRNA from 1 species
GAUGAACGCUAGCUACAGGCUUAACACAUGCAAGUCGAGGGGAAACGAUGAGAGAGCUUGCUCUCUUAGGCGUCGACCGGCGCACGGGUGAGUAACGCGUAUCCAACCUACCCAUUACAGGGGGAUAACCUUGCGAAAGUAAGACUAAUACCCCAUGGCAUUUUAUGGUGGCAUCAUUAUAGGAUUAAAGAUUUAUUGGUAAUGGAUGGGGAUGCGUCUGAUUAGCUUGUUGGCGGGGUAACGGCCCACCAAGGCAACGAUCAGUAGGGGUUCUGAGAGGAAGGUCCCCCACAUUGGAACUGAGACACGGUCCAAACUCCUACGGGAGGCAGCAGUGAGGACUAUUGGUCAAUGGGCGAGAGCUUGAACCAGCCAAGUAGCGUGCAGGAUGACGGCCCUAUGGGUUGUAAACUGCUUUUAUAGGGGAAUAAAGUGAGCUACGUGUAGUUUAUUGCAUGUACCCUAGGAAUAAGGACCGGCUAAUUCCGU